CCUACGGGAUGCUGCAGUGAGGAAUAUUGGUCAAUGGGCAGAAGCCUGAACCAGCCAAGUAGCGUGCGGGAUGAAGGCCCUACGGGUCGUAAACCGCUUUUGCACGGGGAUAACACCCUCCACUUGUGGAGGUCUGCAGGUACCGUGCGAAUAAGGGCCGGCUAAUUCCGUGCCAGCAGCCGCGGUAAUACGGAAGGCCCGAGCGUUAUCCGGAUUCAUUGGGCUUAAAGGGAGCGUAGGCGGGCGUUCAAGUCAGCUGUAAAAUCGCGCGGCUCAACCGCGCCCCGCAGUUGAAACUGGACGCAUUGAGUGCACAACAGGCAGGCGGAAUUCGUGGUGUAGCGGUGAAAUGCAUAGAUAUCACGAGGAACCCCGAUUGCGAAGGCAGCCUGCCGGGGUGCGACUGACGCUGAGGCUCGAAGGUGCGGGUAUCAAACAGGAUUAGAUACCCCUGUAGUC
rnacentral:rRNA from 1 species